rnacentral:tRNA from 1 species
UCCCUGGUGGCUCAGACGGUAAAGCAUCUGUCUACAAUGUGGAAGACCCGGGUUCGAGCCCUGGGUUGGGAA